GACGAACGCUGGCGGCGUGCUUAACACAUGCAAGUCGAACGGAAAGGCCCUGCUUUUGUGGGGUGCUCGAGUGGCGAACGGGUGAGUAACACGUGAGUAACCUGCCCUUGACUUUGGGAUAACUUCAGGAAACUGGGGCUAAUACCGGAUAGGAGCUCCUGCUGCAUGGUGGGGGUUGGAAAGUUUCGGCGGUUGGGGCUGGACUCGCGGCUUAUCGGCUUGUUGGUGGGGUAGUGGCUUACCAAGGGUUUGACGGGUAGCCCGCAUGAGAGGGUGACCGGCCACAAUAGGCCUAAGGUACGGCGCAGACUCCUAUCGGCGGCAGCAGUGGAGAGUAUUACACAAUGGGCGGACGCCUGAUGCAGCAACCCCGCGUUCGGGAUGCUGGGCUUCGGGUUGUAAACCGCUUUCGCCUGUGACGAAGCCUUCUUGACGGUACUGGAUAAAGAAGCACCGGCUAACUACGUG
rnacentral:rRNA from 1 species